rnacentral:rRNA from 1 species
GACGAAGGAUGCAAGCGUUAUCCGGAUUCAUUGGGUUUAAAGGGAGCGUAGGCGGACUUGUAAGUCAGUGGUGAAAUCUGUGGGCUUAACCCACAAACUGCCAUUGAUACUGCAGGUCUAGAGUACAGUUGCCGUUGGCGGAAUAUGACAUGUAGUGGUGAAAUACUUAGAUAUGUCAUAGAACACCGAUUGCGAAGGCAGCUAACGAAGCUGUAACUGACGCUGAGGCUCGAGAGUGCGGGGAUCAAACAGG